UUGACCUCAAAUCAGGUAGGACUACCCGCUGAACUUAAGC
rnacentral:rRNA from 35 species